rnacentral:rRNA from 1 species
CAGUAGCCACGGUAAUACGGAGGGUGCAAGCGUUAAUCGGAAUUACUGGGCGUAAAGCGCACGCAGGCGGUCUGACAAGUCAGAUGUGAAAUCCCCGGGCUUAACCUGGGAACUGCAUUUGAAACUGUCAGGCUGGAGUCUUGUAGAGCGGGGUGGAAUUCCAGGUGUAGCGGUGAAAUGCGUAGAGAUCUGGAGGAAUACCGGUGGCGAAGGCGGCCCCCUGGACAAAGACUGACGCUCAGGUGCGAAAGCGUGGGGAGCAAACAGGAUUAGAGACCCCAGUAGUCCCUGUCUCUUAUAA